UACGUAGGGUCCGAGCGUUGUCCGGAAUUAUUGGGCGUAAAGAGCUCGUAGGCGGUCCGUUAAGUCGGAAGUGAAAUCUCAAGGCUCAACCUUGAAAUCGCUUUCGAUACUGGCGGACUUGAGGCAGGUAGGGGAAGGUGGAAUUCCUGGUGUAGCGGUGGAAUGCGCAGAUAUCAGGAGGAACACCGAUGGCGAAGGCAGUUCUCUGGGCCGUAACUGACGCUGAGGCGCGAAAGCGUGGGUAGCAAACAGG
rnacentral:rRNA from 1 species